UACGUAGGGUGCAAGCGUUAGUCGGAAUUACUGGGCGUAAAGCGUGCGCAGGCGGUUUUGUAAGUCAGAUGUGAAAUCCCCGGGCUUAACCUGGGAACUGCGUUUGAAACUACAAGGCUAGAGUGUGGCAGAGGGGGGUGGAAUUCCACGUGUAGCAGUGAAAUGCGUAGAGAUGUGGAGGAACACCGAUGGCGAAGGCAGCCCCCUGGGUUAACACUGACGCUCAGGCACGAAAGCGUGGGGAGCAAACAGG
rnacentral:rRNA from 1 species